UACGUAGGGUCCGAGCGUUGUCCGGAAUUACUGGGCGUAAAGCGCGCGCAGGCGGCCCGCGAGGUGUCACGUGAAAGCCCCGGGCUCAACCCGGGAGGGUCGUGGCAAACCGGCGGGCUUGAGGCCGGUAGAGGUGGGUGGAACUCCUGGUGGAGUGGUGAAAUGCGUAGAGAUCAGGAAGAACACCCGUGGCGAAGGCGGCCCACUGGGCCGGUACUGACGCUGAGGCGCGGAGGCGUGGGGAGCGAACGGG
rnacentral:rRNA from 1 species